CUAGCGUCUGGGGUAAGAAGUCGCUGCCAUCAGCCCCACUGAUGAGUCUAGGCAGUGACUCCGAGACGAAGCGCAAU
rnacentral:hammerhead_ribozyme from 17 species